rnacentral:lncRNA from 1 species
GAUACAUGUAUAUCAACUUUUGAUGUAAAAAUCCUGUUCAUUUGGUGAAAAAGUAUGCCAAAAAUAGUUACUAUAUAAUAUGUACUUGUUUAUUUAUUUAUUUUAAAAAAAAAAAGGUCACUAGGUUAGAACCCAAGAGUCAGUUUCACAAAAAAAACUUAGGAUUAAGGUUGAUCAUAAAUCGUGAACAAUUCAGUAUACUUACGGUAAAUAUUAGAAGUAAGUUUUUUUGUGAAACUGACUCCAAGUCUUUAGUUUUAUAAAAGAUUGUAUAGGAAAAUUAAAUGAAUUCUGUCCAAAGACUGAAUACAUUACUGUUCUAAAUUUGCUACUAAGAUUGAAUAAGAUAAAAAUGAUAUGAGACUGUUAGUGCUAUUUGACAAUCAUUCGUAAUGUGGUCAUCUAAAGGAUGCCGAUGUUAACCCAACCAUUAUUAUGUACAUAGAUCAUGUAUGGCUGAAUUGUUUGUGGAUGACUAAACAUUGCUCAUUUAUAUUCUAUGUCAUGUUAUUUAUUUUGUUCUUGUUGAUUUGCUAAUAAAAAAGAUGAUGUCACCUU